UAGGGAAUCUUCCGCAAUGGACGAAAGUCUGACGGAGCAACGCCGCGUGAGUGAUGAAGGUUUUCGGAUCGUAAAGCUCUGUUGUUAGGGAAGAACAAGUGCCGUUCAAAUAGGGCGGCACCUUGACGGUACCUAACCAGAAAGCCACGGCUAACUACGUGCCAGCAGCCGCGGUAAUACGUAGGUGGCAAGCGUUGUCCGGAAUUAUUGGGCGUAAAGGGCUCGCAGGCGGUUUCUUAAGUCUGAUGUGAAAGCCCCCGGCUCAACCGGGGAGGGUCAUUGGAAACUGGGGAACUUGAGUGCAGAAGAGGAGAGUGGAAUUCCACGUGUAGCGGUGAAAUGCGUAGAGAUGUGGAGGAACACCAGUGGCGAAGGCGACUCUCUGGUCUGUAACUGACGCUGAGGUGCGAAAGCGUGGGGAGCGAACA
rnacentral:rRNA from 1 species